GACGAACGCUGGCGGCGGGCUUAACACAUGCAAGUCGAACGGAAAGGCCCUGCUUUUGUGGGGUGCUCGAGUGGCGAACGGGUGAGUAACACGUGAGUAACCUGCCCUUGACUUUGGGAUAGCUUCAGGAAACUGGGGCUAAUACCGGAUAGCAGCUCCUGCUGCAGGGUGGGGGUUGGAAAGUUUCGGCUGGUGGGGAUGGACUCGCGGCUGAUCAGCUUGCUGGUUGGGUAGUGGCUGACCAAGGCUGUGACGGGUAGCCGGCCUGAGAGGGUGAACGGCCACAUUGCGACUGAGAUACGGACCAGACUCCUACGGUAGGCAGCAGUGGGGAAUAUUGCACAAUGGGCGCAAGCCUGAUGCAGCAACGCCGCGUUCGGGAUGACGGCCUUCUGGGUGUAAACAGCUUUAGCCUGUGACGAAGCGUGAGUGACGGUAAUGGGUAAAGAAGCACCGGCUAACUACGUG
rnacentral:rRNA from 1 species